CGCACGAAAAGAGAAACAGCCAAGUUAAUAAUUUGACAAACGCAGUUGUCAAAGCUUCUGUCAGCCCGGUGGGGUAAUCUAAAUCUAAGCCUAUGUAAUAUUAGGUUUCCAUUUCGCACAGGAACCUCUAUCAACACAUGGCUUCAACUGGUGGCCGAACGUGCAUAUUAGCUAACAAGUGUUAUCGCAGUCACAACCUGGAUGAAGAAGAAAUAUGUGAAUGACAUGAAAGAUAAAAAGAAUACUGAACCUACAAUUCAUAACUGGAAAGUUUCAGAAAAUAGACAUGACAAAGAGUAAUAUGAGCCAAAAGAUUCUGAUAUAGAGACGAUUUUGUUAAGGUUGCGAUCUGAUACAACUUUUAAGAAAGACUUGGAUGUCGUCAAAUAAAGAAGUAAUAAAUUCAAGAAAGCUAUCGUAUUCAGGCCAGACAGCCCAAGAAAAAGAAUCAUGUUUGUGGACAUUUCUAAAUAAAUGAAAAUUGGGUGAAAUCAGGAUUUUUAUCAAAGAUAGUGUCAAAGAAUGAUAGUGGUAAGCAGUUAGUUGAGCUCUUGAAUAGAUCAAGACAUGUCCACUUUAGAGACCAGCCACAAGCAUCACACACUGGCUAACUAUAACACACAAGAUCCAGCAAGUAACAUGCAUAACACAUCUAAAGAAAUAAAACACCAAAAUACUUCAUUCAGUUGUGACACUUUCUCAGAGGACUUUGAAAAAAACAACGAUAUGGAGUUUCAGGACAAGCAAGAGUCUGUAGAAAAUGGACACAAUAAUAACAAAUCUGAAUCUGGAGAUAUAAAUGAGGAAUUCGAUGAGGAGUCUGAGAGUCAGAUUGAUGUUGGAAUGGACACUGAAAUGAAACAUUCUGCACCUGAAAUAAACACUAAUAAAAAGACUGAAGACAUGAACUCUGAGUUAAGUCUGCAGGAAAGAGCAUUCAGACAUCAUUUGGAAAUGCGUCGCGAAUCACCAUUAUCUCCAGAGACUUCACGUCUCCUUCGUGAAAUCCUCCAAGGAAAAGAAAAACAUUUCCAAGAGAGAAUUGCCAAUGGAGAAAUCCCAUCUUCUGACAGUGCUCUAAUCUCAAAAUUCCUUCAGCAGGAAAAUCGUUUGUUACAAAAUGGCAAUGAUGUUGAAAAUGAUGAUGUGUCGCUACAAUCUGUGUCACCAGCAGAAACGUCAUCAGAUGAAAGUGACCAAGAAAACAGUCAACCAAAGCUAAUGACCAACUGCAGUGUUGAUUACAGCAAAGCCAAUGGCCAGUCAGGUAAUACAGAUCAAAUAGUUAGUCAUGACUCCAUCAAAAUUAAAGGGGAACGAGUUGAUAAUAUUAUAUCUAGUCUGAGUCGAAUUUCUCCUUCUCGGGCAUUAUCUGAUAUGGCAGGAAAUCAAGUAGAGGGGCGAAGCAGGAAGCGAAAAUCAUACAUUCCCCAGCAGCAUGAUGCCUCAGGUACUGAUUCCUCAGGUAACAAAUAUUGCAAAACUGAAAAAGACUUUUUACGUGUCCAGUUGAAAGACAUGCAAAAACAGCUUAAAACUAUGCAAAAGAAAUAUGUUGAUUUAUAUGAGAAUGCUAGUACUGACCAAUCAGAACUCUCAGAUUAUGACACUGAAAAAACAAAAUUAGACAAUUUUAGAAAUGGCGAAAGAAAGGUGUUAAACUCUAGUCCAUUCAUGAAUCAAGCAACAAAAAUUGUUAAAGAAACUGACAGAAAAAUUAACCUUGCUAUGCUCAGUGAAAAACCUGAUCUCCAAAAAUUUGCGCAUUUACUUAAAUCUGAAAUAGCAUCAUCAAUUGGCAGUGUUGUGGACAAUAUUGUGUCAAAGUUUGUUGAAAAACAACAGCAUGUUGAAGAAAUGAAGAAAAAAGUUCAAGAGGAAAAGGAAAAAGUCCAACAGGAGCAGAAGUCCCCCCUUCAAAGACCUGGCUUAUCUCCAGUUGGUCCAGUCGGCCCCCACUCUCAUCCAAUAUUCCAGCCCCAUAAGCUCCUCUCCCCCCAUCAGCCUCCUCACCUUAAUUUCAAAUCCUCAAAUGCCCAGAUGAGUGAUACCAUGACUCAUAAUGCAAUUAAAUCCAAAGUAGCGGAAAAAGUUCACAGUCGUGUCACCGAUAGUCAGCCUCAGUCUGAAAAUAACUUAAGCAUCAGAGUUCCAUCUUUUGAUCAUGCCAGAUUUGAAAGCCGUUUUCGCGAACGUGAAGGUCUCCCCCCUCAUCAUAUCCCACCACAUAGUCUACACAGUGCCUUCCCAGGGUUCCCAUAUUUCCCUUCAACACACCACCUCCCCCCUACACAGAUACCCAUGCUGCCCCCUCCUUACAAUAAGGACAUUGAGCAGACAGAACCAAUUUCUCUUGUGAUGAACACCCCAAAGAGGAAGCGAACAAAGGUAACAGACACCCGUCUCUCCCCAAGAGCUGCAAGACAGCUUCUCUCAGAACCCAAUGGGAAUGGCAGCAUUCGUGAUUUGAAUCGUGAGUUUGGCAUGAUGCAUAAAGAAAUGAAAGAAGAGCUACAAAAGAGAGAUGGUUUUUAUCCAUCCAUGGGACUGAACCUACCAACCAGCGUAGCCAUUCCUAACCCUGGCCUGAUGCACUCUGAUGUCCUGGCCAUGUACUCCCAGAGAGGACCUGGGUCUGCCUUCAGUGAGAGGCCCCCCUCCUCCCACCAUUCACCACCCACUGGAGAGAAUGGAUCACCACACAUUGCUCGGGUACCAUGUGAUCAGUCGCCAUUCCAAAUGCGGGAGAUGUCCAGUCUGAGCAGAGAAGACAACAACAGUAGCCCAUCUGAGGGGUCUUACUACGAUGGCUGUCAAACCAUAACAUUAACUCCUAUGCACCUGAGGAAGGCCAAACUGAUGUUCUUCUACUCGCGCUACCCCAGUUCAGCCAUCUUGAAGGUUUACUUCCCAGACGUGAAAUUCAACAAGAACAAUACUGCACAGCUUGUGAAAUGGUUCAGCAAUUUCCGAGAGUUCUACUACAUUCAGAUGGAGAAGUAUGCCAGACAGGCAUUGGCUGAGGGAGUGAAGAAUGCAGAGGAUCUUAUCGUCACCACAGACUCUGAACUCUAUCGCGUUCUCAACCUUCAUUACAAUAGGAACAACCAGAUCGAGGUCCCUGAUAAUUUCCGUUUGGUGAAUCAAGCAACUCUGCGUGAAUUCUUCAAAUCUAUCCAACAAGGGAAAGACAUGGAACAGUCUUGGAAGAAACAGAUUUACAAGAUUAUUGCACGUCUUGAUGAUACACUCCCAGAAUAUUUCAAAUCUCCCAACUGGAUGGACCAAUUGGCCGAUAUGUAAUGGUGUAAUUCAACAGUUGUUUGAAGUUUAUGGACAAUAAAUUGCCAAUAGUUGCUAUAGUAACUCAUUGUGAUUAUUUUUGCUAUGGUAACAAAAACAAGUACUGCAUAUUGCUUCCAAGUAAGAAAUGUAGAUUGUCUAGCAAUAUGGUGAUCUGUACAUUCUUUGAUGUAAUCAGUGGUUUAAACAAGACAUUGUAAGCCAGGAAAAACAAUGUAGUUUUUAUAAAAGUAGACAAUUAUGGUUGCUUAGUAAUGAUAUACAUUCCAAAUGUAUAUUGUAUAACCAUAGCAACAAGCAAAGUUGCCAUUAAGCUAAUUUCAUCUCCAUCGACCACAUUCCAGAUCAUGAAAAAAGCAAUUGAGAAAAUGGGCGUGUAUAAUUCAUCAGAUGGCUGCAUGACAUCAGGGUUAAGAUUAAUUAAGGGUGUAGACUAAAAUUGUCAAAGAGUAAAGGGUGUAUAAAGGCAACCAAGUGGUCUAACUAUUUGGGUUGAAAACUUGUAAUUUCAUGAGUGAGAGUCCAAUACUCUAGCAGUGUCAAUAUGGGUCCACUUGAAACAAACAGUUCCUCUUAAAGAUAAUAUAUAUUUUCAAUAUAUUCACUUCCCAUUCCAUUACUGUAAAUAUUGCUUAUAAACAGGUAUACCUGGUGCUUCUCUGACAUUCCAAUUCCAUUUGAAACAAUUAUGACUCUUAUUUCCAUUUACUUAUGAAAAUCUUAUUUUUUGCUGAAACCCCAAAAGUAACAUUUUGUAAAAUCUAAGUAAAAAGGGGCAAAUUUGAAGUGGACAAAAUCAUUUUGACCCUUCAUACCACAUGAUUCCUCAAGUAAAGUACCCAAAACGACAUAACUUUGAUCUUCAAAAUUUUCCAUGACAGUUAAAAGUAGACACUUAUAAGUAAAGAGGAGCUUAAAUUAUUCCAGUAUCACCUUAUUCAACUUGUUCAAAUUAUAUUUAACAUCACUUUUGAAGUGCUACUCUAUUAAAGAGUUUGAAUCAUCAAAUGUUUAAGCGGAUACAACAUCUAAUUAUUUGAUAACUCUGAGGUCAUCUUUCAAUUGAAUUAUUUUGAUAAUUUUUUAUAAAUUGGACUGCACAACUUUUAAGAAACUUAAUUUCUUUCAUCUGUUUGAUUAUGAGAUUGGUCACAGGUACACACUACAAUCAUACUAUAUGAGAAAUUGUGUUGCAAGUUGUGUCAACUGUGUCAACUGUGUUGCUGUGUCAACUUAACUAAAAGCUAUCAACUUAUUUUUGCUCUAUGGCCCAUCAUGGUUAGGUUGAUUGAUACUCAAAUCUGAUACUCCAUGUAGUCUUUUAAGAAGUAUAUUAUUCUUAUAUUUAUACCUGGUUUUCUACUCAAUUCCAUGACUUAAAGUGUAACAUAUGUCACAAUGACAUGUAAAGAACAAACAGACAAACAAAGGUGAAAUGGGAUUUAUGGUAGGCCUAGUUAUCAUUGUGUAAGUUUGUAAGUUCACUUUACAUAUACAGUAUAUAUAUUCCUGCUAUAUAUGACUUAGUUUAUGUAUGUCAGAGUUAAUUAUUUAAAGUUUAACUUAUUUUGAAGUUUUUUCAUUAUUUGUAAAUAGACUAUGCUUCAUGUACAUUGCACAUAAGGCCCUACAUAUUAUGUAGAUUGUAAAAAAAUGUAAAAUGAGGGAAGAAAAAAAUGGUGGAGGGAUCAUUGUAAAGAAAAGUUUGAGUUGAAGCUAAAGUAAACUACAUAUGUAUAAACCUGUUUAAAUUAGAUUUGAGAGUGUGAAAUUUAGUCAUUAAAUGUUAACAGAAUGGUAAAAAUUAGUAUUGUGUAUGAAAAUCCAUCACAAGAAGUUGUCGUUUUCACUUUUAGUGAAAUUUAGACUUUUGGUGAUGAAAAUUUAUGUGAUUUUAGAUUAUUCUAAUUCGUAUUUUAUAUUAUUCCUGAUUAUUUAUAUUUUAUUGUUAUGUAAUUAAAUUGAUUCAGCAUAUACAGCUUACCAAAGAGCUUGGAUUUGAAGCUACUUUCUAAGUAUUUGCUUCUUUUGGAAUGUAUAGCUGAAAUUCUUUAAUUCCAUUUUGUUUGGGAUUGAAAAAGUUCAGAGAUACUUCGAGGUUUUGGGUAAUUUUUUAUUACACCCAGCACAUGUAUCUGUAUAUAUUUUAUAUAUAUUUAUGUAAUCUUACUGAGUGUUAAAAAGUGGCAAUUUUUCAUGAUGGUGCCAUUUGUUUACAUGCCGGGAGUAAGCAAUUUCUGUAUUUCCCUAAUUAUGAGAAAAUGUGCAAUUUUGGUUUAUGUAAAAACUCACAGGAUUUAGUUCAGAACAUAGAAUAUAACAUUCUUGUUUGGAAAAGAUUGAGAAAAUGUUUAUGACUGGUGAAUUGUCUUUUUCAAUAAAAGUCAUUCCAUUUUUCAUUUAACAUUCAUCUGGAAAAGCCUUCAUGAUAAUGUAAAUAAGUAUGCAAGAAUUAUAACGGAAAUAUGCAAUGUAAAAUAUGACAGUUAGAGAACAAGUUACUGUAGGAUGUAAUGUAGAUAGAAUCAAUGGUAGGCUAUUCAAAAUGUCAUUCACUCAUUUUGACUCUGUAGUCUAACUUAUUUAUUACUUAGGUUUUGUAGAUUAGUAGAUUUAGUAAAUUAGUAUCAGAUCAAGUUUUAGUAAUAUUUGUAAUAUUAGCCAUUUGCCUUGCAUAAUUGAUAAUGACAGGUAUCUUAUGCAGGUUUAGUGGUUAAAUCUUGCCUCUAUAAUGUGCCACCGAUUUCCAGUAUAUGGAGAAAAUUUAAUAAUAUGUAUAUAUAACUGAUGGUAGAUUGGUUAUAAAUCAUGUAUGGUAAAACAUAAGUUGCCAAUCAUGGUAUGGUGAUAUGAAUGCAAUUGUAAUUUAUGCGAUUUACACAUUAUUUAUUUCAGACAAUGUUUAAAACACUUUGAAUCUGAUCAUACUAUUUUUUCAUUAUUUAUACUUUAACAAUCAAAUAUUCCAUAUCGUUAUAAGCUCAUUCUUUUUCUCUAGUAUAUAUGUAUGUAGUGGAUGUACCAUGCACCAUAUUAUUAAUAUGUUACACUGGUAUAAAUCAGCCUGCAUGACUGUGGUUUUUGGCUCAUUAUAUAUAUGGUGUACAUGAUAAAUAAUCAAGAGAUGUAUAAAAAAUUAGUAUUGAUUAUUCUAGAAAAUGUGGUAAAAGCUAUGUAUGUAGACCAAGAUAUAUUUUAAGUGGUCAAAGCAAAUUGUGAUGUAAAAUUUCAAGUAAUUUUUGGUGUUAUAUAUUAUAUAGAAAUGAUAAAUAAAAUUAAAAAAA
rnacentral:misc_RNA from 1 species